rnacentral:rRNA from 1 species
CGCUGGCGGCGUGCCUAACACAUGCAAGUCAACUUGACUGAAGGAGCAAUCUGACAGUAGAGUGGCGCAAGGGUGCGUAACGCGUAAGUAACUUGCCCAAGGUAAGGAAUAACGUCGAGAAAUCGGCGCUAAUACCUCAUAAUGCAGCGGAUCCGCAUGGAUAUGUUGUUAAAGGUUUACCGCCUUGGGAUAGGCUUGCGUCUGAUUAGUUAGUUGGUGUGGUAACGGCACACCAAGGCUACGAUCAGUAACUGGUCUGAGAGGAUGAUCAGUCACACUGGAACUGAGACACGGUCCAGACUCCUACGGGAGGCAGCAGUGAGGAAUAUUGGGCAAUGCUCGAAAGAGUGACCCAGCAACGCCGCGUGGAGGAUGAAGGUAUUCUAUAUCGUAAACUCCUGUGAGAGCAGACGAAAGACAGAUUAUUAAUCUGGAUGACUGUAUGCUCAGAGGAAGCCCCGGCUAACUACGUG